GGGCGGUUAGCUCAGUUGGUUAGAGCGCUACGUUGACAUCGUAGAGGUCAUAAGUUCAAGUCUUAUACCGCCCA
rnacentral:tRNA from 1 species